rnacentral:rRNA from 1 species
UACGAAGGGUGCAAGCGUUGAUCGGAAUUACUGGGCGUAAAGCGUGCGUAGGUGGUUUGUUAAGUCUGCUGUGAAAGCCCUGGGCUCAACCUGGGAAUGGCGGUGGAUACUGACAAGCUAGAGUGCGGUAGAGGAGGGUGGAAUUCCCGGUGUAGCGGUGAAAUGCGUAGAGAUCGGGAGGAACAUCAGUGGCGAAGGCGGCCCUCUGGACCAGCACUGACGCUGAGGCACGAAAGCGUGGGGAGCAAACAGG